AACUGAAUCCAUAGGUUAAUGAGGCGAACCGGGGGAACUGAAACAUCUAAGUACCCCGAGGAAAAGAAAUCAACCGAGAUUCCCCCAGUAGCGGCGAGCGAACGGGGAGCAGCCCAGAGCCUGAAUCAGUGUGUGUGUUAGUGGAAGCGUCUGGAAAGGCGCGCGAUACAGGGUGACAGCCCCGUACACAAAAAUGCACAUGCUGUGAGCUCGAUGAGUAGGGCGGGACACGUGGUAUCCUGUCUGAAUAUGGGGGGACCAUCCUCCAAGGCUAAAUACUCCUGACUGACCGAUAGUGAACCAGUACCGUGAGGGAAAGGCGAAAAGAACCCCGGCGAGGGGAGUGAAAAAGAACCUGAAACCGUGUACGUACAAGCAGUGGGAGCACGCUUAGGCGUGUGACUGCGUACCUUUUGUAUAAUGGGUCAGCGACUUAUAUUCUGUAGCAAGGUUAACCGAAUAGGGGAGCCGAAGGGAAACCGAGUCUUAACUGGGCGUUAAGUUGCAGGGUAUAGACCCGAAACCCGGUGAUCUAGCCAUGGGCAGGUUGAAGGUUGGGUAACACUAACUGGAGGACCGAACCGACUAAUGUUGAAAAAUUAGCGGAUGACUUGUGGCUGGGGGUGAAAGGCCAAUCAAACCGGGAGAUAGCUGGUUCUCCCCGAAAGCUAUUUAGGUAGCGCCUCGUGAAUUCAUCUCCGGGGGUAGAGCACUGUUUCGGCAAGGGGGUCAUCCCGACUUACCAACCCGAUGCAAACUGCGAAUACCGGAGAAUGUUAUCACGGGAGACACACGGCGGGUGCUAACGUCCGUCGUGAAGAGGGAAACAACCCAGACCGCCAGCUAAGGUCCCAAAGUCAUGGUUAAGUGGGAAACGAUGUGGGAAGGCCCAGACAGCCAGGAUGUUGGCUUAGAAGCAGCCAUCAUUUAAAGAAAGCGUAAUAGCUCACUGGUCGAGUCGGCCUGCGCGGAAGAUGUAACGGGGCUAAACCAUGCACCGAAGCUGCGGCAGCGACGCUGAUGCGUUGUUGGGUAGGGGAGCGUUCUGUAAGCCUGCGAAGGUGUGCUGUGAGGCAUGCUGGAGGUAUCAGAAGUGCGAAUGCUGACAUAAGUAACGAUAAAGCGGGUGAAAAGCCCGCUCGCCGGAAGACCAAGGGUUCCUGUCCAACGUUAAUCGGGGCAGGGUGAGUCGACCCCUAAGGCGAGGCCGAAAGGCGUAGUCGAUGGGAAACAGGUUAAUAUUCCUGUACUUGGUGUUACUGCGAAGGGGGGACGGAGAAGGCUAUGUUGGCCGGGCGACGGUUGUCCCGGUUUAAGCGUGUAGGCUGGUUUUCCAGGCAAAUCCGGAAAAUCAAGGCUGAGGCGUGAUGACGAGGCACUACGGUGCUGAAGCAACAAAUGCCCUGCUUCCAGGAAAAGCCUCUAAGCAUCAGGUAACAUCAAAUCGUACCCCAAACCGACACAGGUGGUCAGGUAGAGAAUACCAAGGCGCUUGAGAGAACUCGGGUGAAGGAACUAGGCAAAAUGGUGCCGUAACUUCGGGAGAAGGCACGC
rnacentral:rRNA from 1 species